rnacentral:misc_RNA from 1 species
UGAUCCUCAUCACCACUGCAAAAAGUCAAAGGACAUUUCCACUAAGAAAGGACAUGGUCACACUGAUGUUUUAUUACCACACUUGACAGUUUGAAAAAAGUUUUUUUUUGGCAUGUGUGCAUGCGUGUGUCCGUCUGUUAAGGGUUAUAGAAACUUAGCAAUUGUUUUAUUCCCCAAAACAUCUAUCAUUUGGGAAAAAUACCUAUCCUGAAGUAGACUCAUCUGGCUGUUGAUGCCCACCAAUACAAUAUGCAUCAUAUUACCAAAGUUAGCCGGUCCUGAAUAUCCAUUUGGAAUGGCUUCAUGAUGGUUAUGAGUUGUUUCCCUUAAUGCAG